rnacentral:rRNA from 1 species
GACGAACGCUGGCGGCGUGCUUAACACAUGCAAGUCGAACGGAAAGGCCCUGCUUUUGUGGGGUGCUCGAGUGGCGAACGGGUGAGUAACACGUGAGUAACCUGCCCUUGACUUUGGGAUAACUUCAGGAAACUGGGGCUAAUACCGGAUAGGAGCUCCUGCUGCAUGGUGGGGGUUGGAAAGUUUCGGCGGUUGGGGAUGGACUCGCGGCUUAUCAGCUUGUUGGUGGGGUAGUGGCUUACCAAGGCUUUGACGGGUAGCCGGCCUGAGAGGGUGACCGGCCACAUUGGGACUGAGAUACGGCCCAGACUCCUACGGGAGGCAGCAGUAGGGAAUAUUGCACAAUAGGCGGAAGCCUGAUGCGGCAACGCCGCGUGCGGGAUAACGGCCUUCGGGUUGUAAACCGCUUUCGCCUGUGACGAAGCGUGAGUGACGGUAAUGGGUAAAGAAGCACCGGCUAACUACGUG